rnacentral:rRNA from 1 species
AGACCCGAAACCCGGUGAUCUAGCCAUGGGCAGGUUGAAGGUUGGGUAACACUAACUGGAGGACCGAACCGACUAAUGUUGAAAAAUUAGCGGAUGACCUGUGGCUGGGGGUGAAAGGCCAAUCAAACCGGGAGAUAGCUGGUUCUCCCCGAAAGCUAUUUAGGUAGCGCCUCGUGAAUUCAUCUCCGGGGGUAGAGCACUGUUUCGGCUAGGGGGCCAUCCCGGCUUACCAACCCGAUGCAAACUGCGAAUACCGGAGAAUGUUAUCACGGGAGACACACGGCGGGUGCUAACGUCCGUCGUGAAGAGGGAAACAACCCAGACCGCCAGCUAAGGUCCCAAAGUCAUGGUUAAGUGGGAAACGAUGUGGGAAGGCCCAGACAGCCAGGAUGUUGGCUUAGAAGCAGCCAUCAUUUAAAGAAAGCGUAAUAGCUCACUGGUCGAGUCGGCCUGCGCGGAAGAUGUAACGGGGCUAAACCAUGCACCGAAGCUGCGGCAGCGACACUCAGGUGUUGUUGGGUAGGGGAGCGUUCUGUAAGCCUGUGAAGGUGGCCUGUGAGGGUGGCUGGAGGUAUCAGAAGUGCGAAUGCUGACAUAAGUAACGAUAAAGCGGGUGAAAAGCCCGCUCGCCGGAAGACCAAGGGUUCCUGUCCAACGUUAAUCGGGGCAGGGUGAGUCGACCCCUAAGGCGAGGCCGAAAGGCGUAGUCGAUGGGAAACGGGUUAAUAUUCCCGUACUUGGUGUUACUGCGAAGGGGGGACGGAGAAGGCUAUGUUGGCCGGGCGACGGUUGUCCCGGUUUAAGCGUGUAGGUGUGUGUUCCAGGUAAAUCCGGUU